GAUGAACGCUGGCGGCGUGCCUAAUACAUGCAAGUCGAGCGAACAGACGAGGAGCUUGCUCCUCUGACGUUAGCGGCGGACGGGUGAGUAACACGUGGAUAACCUACCUAUAAGACUGGGAUAACUUCGGGAAACCGGAGCUAAUACCGGAUAACAUGUUGAACCGCAUGAUUCAACAGUGAAAGACGGUCUUGCUGUCACUUAUAGAUGGAUCCGCGCCGCAUUAGCUAGUUGGUAAGGUAACGGCUUACCAAGGCAACGAUGCGUAGCCGACCUGAGAGGGUGAUCGGCCACACUGGAACUGAGACACGGUCCAGACUCCUACGGGAGGCAGCAGUAGGGAAUCUUCCGCAAUGGGCGAAAGCCUGACGGAGCAACGCCGCGUGAGUGAAGAAGGUCUUCGGAUCGUAAAACUCUGUUAUUAGGGAAGAACAAAUGUGUAAGUAACUAUGCACGUCUUGACGGUACCUAAUCAGAAAGCCACGGCUAACUACGUG
rnacentral:rRNA from 1 species